AUUGAACGCUGGCGGCAUGCCUUACACAUGCAAGUCGAACGGCAGCGGGGGAGAAGCUUGCUUUUCCUGCCGGCGAGUGGCGAACGGGUGAGUAAUACAUCGGAACGUGCCCUGUAGUGGGGGAUAACUAGUCGAAAGAUUAGCUAAUACCGCAUACGACCUGAGGGUGAAAGUGGGGGGCCGCAAGGCCUCAUGCUAUAGGAGCGGCCGAUGUCUGAUUAGCUAGUUGGUGGGGUAAAGGCCUACCAAGGCGAUGAUCAGUAGCUGGUCUGAGAGGACGAUCAGCCACACUGGGACUGAGACACGGCCCAGACUCCUACGGGAGGCAGCAGUGGGGAAUUUUGGACAAUGGGCGAAAGCCUGAUCCAGCAAUGCCGCGUGUGUGAAGAAGGUCUUCGGGUUGUAAAGCACUUUUGUCCAGAAAGAAAUGGCUCUGGUUAAUACCUGGGGUCGAUGACGGUACCGGAAGAAUAAGGACCGGCUAACUACGUGCCAGCCGCCGCCGUAA
rnacentral:rRNA from 1 species